rnacentral:rRNA from 1 species
GUUAAGAAUUUUGCGCAAUGGGCGCAAGCCUGACGCAGCGACGCCGCGUGGACGAUGAAGGUCUUCGGAUUGUAAAGUCCAGUAAGCAGGGACGAAUAAGCAGAGGGUAAUAUUCUCUGUGAUGACGGUACCUGUCUAAAGCCUCGGCUAACUACGUGCCAGCAGCCGCGGUAAUACGUAUGAGGCAAGCGUUGUUCGGAAUUAUUGGGCAUAAAGGGCGUGUAGGCGGGGAAUUAAGUUAGGUGUGAAAGCCAUGGGCUUAACCCGUGAAUUGCACCUAAUACUGGUUCUCUUGAGUUCGGGAGAGGAGAGCGGAAUUCCCGGUGUAGCGGUGAAAUGCGUAGAUAUCGGGAAGAACACCAGUGGCGAAGGCGGCUCUCUGGCCUAGAACUGACGCUAAGGCGCGAAAGCGUGGGGAGCGAACGGGAUUAGAAACCCCAGUAGUCC